GACGAACGCUGGCGGCGUGCUUAACACAUGCAAGUCGAACGGAAAGGCCCUGCUUUUGUGGGGUGCUCGAGUGGCGAACGGGUGAGUAACACGUGAGUAACCUGCCCUUGACUUUGGGAUAACUUCAGGAAACUGGGGCUAAUACCGGAUAGGAGCUCCUGCUGCAUGGUGGGGGUUGGAAAGUUUCGGCGGUUGGGGAUGGACUCGAGGCUUAUCGGCUUGUUGGGGGGGUAGUGGCUUACCAAGGCUUUGAAGGGUAGCCGGCCUGAGAGGGUGACCGGGCACAUUGGGACUGCGAUACGGCCCAGAAUCCUACGGGAGGCAGCAGUGGGGAAUAUUGCACAAUGGGCGGAAGCCUGAUGCAGCAACGCCGCGUGCGGGAUGACGGCCUUCGGGUUGUAAACCGAUGUCGCCUGUGACGAAGCGUGAGUGACGGUAAUGGGUAAAGAAGCACCGGCUAACUACGUG
rnacentral:rRNA from 1 species